rnacentral:lncRNA from 1 species
AUAGAGUAUUAUAGUAGAGAAGCUACUUGACCAAGGUUCCUAAGUCUGUCUGAGUAGCUGCAAACAUUUGGGCGAACUACACAACUCAAGGAAUAUAGAUAGCCUUUUCAGCUGUCAAAAGGGGACAGGGGAAUCCCUUUUCUACUAAUCGUCCAUCUUUGAUAUUGGAGUACAAUGGACUAUAUAUGAGAACAUUCUUACCAAUUGAUGUAUUAAAACUUAUAACUUUUGCUUAGAAGAAUUUAUGGUUCCUGAUAGCAGGGGGUUAGGGAGAGAUGUUUAGACAUUUCAAUUUUUUAAUGAAUUUAUUGAUAUACAGUAGGAACAGUUCGGCUUUCACAUUAAUUCAUACAUUUCAAAGAUUUUUCUUUGUGAUAGAAUGAUGUAAAGCUAUUAUAUAUUCUGCCCAGAAUGUCUCUCAUCUGUUUCUUUAAAAAACGUUAAAGCACCAUUGAACCAAUUUUUACGGUACUAUUAAUCAGUGUAAUCAGUAUUAAUACACUACUUUACCAGCUCAGUGCCACUUGUCAGUAAUAUGACAGGGUGAAUUUUACAUCUUCUUCACAAAGGCUUUCAUCUAUUAGGGAGAGAAAAAGGAGAUCAGGAUUUUAAUUGUUAGCAAUCAGAAGCCUAUGUGAUUAAGACAGGCAUUCUGAAUAAGACACAGCACAGAUUAUACUGAGAAUAUUUUUCAUCCUUUACUAAUUCUUUUAUGAAUUUGAAUGUAGUCUUAUUUACCUGAAACUUUAAUUAUAGACUCAAAGGAGAGUAAUAUGCCUAUUAGAAAUAUAAGAAUUUAAUGUUAAAGGUUUUAAUGUGGUUCUGGCUGGCUUCUUUCUCUCUUUAUAUCUUGGCUUGCAGUGUUCCCAAAUCCUCAGGUUUCCUCCAAAUGAAUGUUGUUGGCCAGGCACAGUGGCUCAUGCCUGUAAUUCCAGCACUUUGGGAGGCUGAGAGAUGGUGUUUCACUACGUUGCUCAGGCUGGUCUUGAACUCCUGACCCCAAGCAGUUCUCCUGCUUCAGCUCUCAAAGUGCUGGGAUUACUGAUGUGAGCCACUAUGCCUGGCCAGGUUUAGGAUUAUUAUGCGUAGAAGUUUUCUCUUAAAAUAGAAGUGAUCCUUAGAGUAGCCACAAGUUAAUUUAUUUCUAGUGUUUACAACCCAGCACAGUUUAGUUCUCAGCAUACUCGGUCAUCAGUGUAUUCUUUCUUCCUGUGCUUGACUGCAUUUGAUAGUAGUUUCUGAGUGUGAAAGCUUUGUCAAGAAGGAUCCUUUCCAACCAUAAGCGUGCAUCCACUUUGGAAACUACCUAGAAAAGCUGCAAAUGAUAAUUUUGAUAAAGAGAAUUUUGUUUGGAAGAUACUAAAAAUACAGUUAACAAUGAGCAAAUAGCAUUCUCUGACUUACUCGAAGGACCAGUUUAUAUGUAAUUUUAG